rnacentral:tRNA from 1 species
UGGGGCGUAGCUCAGUCGGUUAGAGCAGCUGGCUUAUAUCCGGCGUGUCGAGGGUUCGAUUCCUUCCGCCCCGA